UUUUGAAUAGCUUUCUUAUCUGAAAUUCUGUGCUUAUCUCUUUAAGGUGAUUCGGGAUGUGAUAAAUGUGCACAUGGAAGAACUCAGUAAUAAUUGGCAAGAAGAGCAGGAAAAAGCAGAGGAUGAUGCUGAAAAGAGAGAAGAAAGGCGAUCAGCUUCAGUAGGUUCCCGGCAGUCUGGUGGAAGCUAUUUGGAUGCUGAGUGUUCGCGGCAUAGAAGGGAUUGGAGUCGGAGCCCACAUAAACGAAAAAGAAAUAAAGAUAAAGAUAAAAAUUGGGACUCAAGGAGGAGGAAAGAGAGAGAUGGGGAAAUAUAUCAUAGUCAUAAAAGAAGAAAGCAAAAAGUAUAAAUGAAGUAUUCAUGCAUGUGUUAAUUAUGCUGAUGCCAAGAUAACCAAUGUGCUGAUGUUUUCAUUGUAAUUGCUUUGAAUAGGGGAAAAUGUUUAUAUGACCUGUUUAGUGCUCAGGUCACUAUUUUUCAGUAAGUGCUUAUGUCUCAAACCAUGAGUACACUGUUAUGCCCUAUAACUUUGUUUUCCAUAUAUUUUAAUAGAUGACUGCUUCUUGUUACUAAUUUUGUUUUUUUUUCUUUUUUGAUUAUUUAUGUAUCAGAAAAUUCUUCAAAUCAGUACUUAAAUUAUAAAAAUAAUACAUGAAUGCAUUCUCAUUGUAAAACGUUGAACCUUUCAGAAUACCAUCUCCCAUUCCUAUGGCCACCCAGUGGUAACUGCUAUUUAACACUACACUGGUGAGCUGUAAUAGAGAAAAGCAACCUAAAUAUCUGUCAGGAGGGGAAAGGUCUGGCUAAAUAAAAUGCACUAUAGUCAUAUAAUAGAUUAUUUAUAUCAGAUUUUAAAAAUAAACUUUAUUUAUAUGAAUAUGGAUACAUUUCAGAAACAUAAUGUUAAGUGACAACAGCAAAUUGCUGAAAGAUGUAUACAGUACUGUACAUUUUCAGUGGCUAUAUAUGUAUGUAAAUAUAUUCUUAAAGGUUCAGAAGAACCCAUAUCACACUGCCAGGAGUGAUGAUUUGGGGGAGACCGUAUAAAUGGGAGAGAUAAUGGGUGGCAGUGAAGAUUGGGAGGGUGGUCAACAGAAACAUUAGCUUUAUC